rnacentral:tRNA from 1 species
AAGAUUUUAAGUUAACUAAACUAAUAGCCUUCAAAGCUAUAAAUAAAAUUAUUUUUUUAAAUCUUA